CAGUAGCCGCGGUAAUACGGAGGGUGCAAGCGUUAUCCGGAUUUAUUGGGUUUAAAGGGUCCGUAGGCGGACUUAUAAGUCAGUGGUAAAAGCCUGUCGCUUAACGAUAGAACUGCCAUUGAUACUGUAAGUCUUGAGUAUAUUUGAGGUAGCUGGAAUAAGUAGUGUAGCGGUGAAAUGCAUAGAUAUUACUUAGAACACCAAUUGCGAAGGCAGGUUACCAAGAUAUAACUGACGCUGAGGGACGAAAGCGUGGGUAGCGAACAGGAUUAGAUACCCCGGUAGUCCCUGUCUCUUAUAC
rnacentral:rRNA from 1 species